GAUGAACGCUGGCGGCGUGCCUAAUACAUGCAAGUCGAGCGAACAGAUGAGGAGCUUGCUCCUCUGACGUUAGCGGCGGACGGGUGAGUAACACGUGGAUAACCUACCUAUAAGACUGGGAUAACUUCGGGAAACCGGAGCUAAUACCGGAUAAUAUAUUGAACCGCAUGGUUCAAUAGUGAAAGACGGUUUUGCUGUCACUUAUAGAUGGAUCCGCGCCGCAUUAGCUAGUUGGUAAGGUAACGGCUUACCAAGGCAACGAUGCGUAGCCGACCUGAGAGGGUGAUCGGCCACACUGGAACUGAGACACGGUCCAGACUCCUACGGGAGGCAGCAGUAGGGAAUCUUCCGCAAUGGGCGAAAGCCUGACGGAGCAACGCCGCGUGAAUGAUGAAGGUCUUCGGAUCGUAAAACUCUGUUAUUAGGGAAGAACAAAUGUGUAAGUAACUAUGCACGUCUUGACGGUACCUAAUCAGAAAGCCACGGCUAACUACGUG
rnacentral:rRNA from 1 species